rnacentral:rRNA from 1 species
UACGAAGGGUGCUAGCGUUGUUCGGAUUCAUUGGGCGUAAAGGGUGCGUAGGUGGCGCCGUAAGUCGGGUGUGAAAUUUCGGAGCUUAACUCCGAAACUGCAUUCGAUACUGCGGUGCUUGAGGACUGGAGAGGAGACUGGAAUUCAUGGUGUAGCAGUGAAAUGCGUAGAGAUCAUGAGGAAGACCAGUGGCGAAGGCGGCAUCCUGGACCGGCAUUGACGCUGAGGCGCGAAAGCUAGGGGAGCAAACGGG